UUUUUCCUGCUUCUACAGACGACUCCGAAAACAGUUAUGGUUUCUGCACACAGUCCAACCUGCAAUGCUACAUAUAGACACAGGCAAAAGAAAAGAACACCAUGAAAACAUUCACACAUGGGAAACCACACACAUGCAUGCGCACAAAGGCAUGUAGAUGCACAUAACCUCAUGAUGAACAACAACAGACUAAAUGUAAAGUCCAUGCACACACUAUGUUGAACAGGAUGGGGGAGAUGAGAAAGAGAUCAAACGAACCUUGCACAAGGGUUUUCUGUGAAAGUACAAAAGCCUUUGCUUAUUCAAUAGCUUCAUGACAUGAUCCAGGGUUUACUGCAACCGGUCAGCCAGUGAUUUGUGUUCCAGGACAAUAUUUAGGUCACAGCUUGCCAAAUUGCCAUAGGAAUGUUUCAAAUGUCCUCUACUCAACGGAUCAUCACCAUGAGCUGGAUGUGCUGUUGUGUCCUCUUACACAGCGGAGUUGACCGUGAAUCCAGGAGAAAACGUUACUCUAAGCUGUGACUAUAAACCAUCAACUGGUGAAAAUAUUGUGUGGUACAGGAACUGUUCUCAUGAGAAUCAGCCCACUCGUAUUCUGAGGUGGGAUGAAUUAAGAGAGAAUAAAGACUCCAAUUCAUCCAAGGAUCUGAAUGUGAUGUGGAACAAUUCUUCAAAAUCAUACAAUUUACUGAUUAGGAACAUCAGUGAUUCUCACCUUGGUCUCUACUACUGUGGAACUGAAAAACGGUUGUGAUAGAUGCAGACAAAAUAUUUCAAAAAUAUAUCCUCAGAUAUGGAAAUGUGACCACAAGGAUUUCAUUUGUUAAGCCUCUUGAUGCAUGUGAAGACUGUGGAGAGUGCUGGAGGCUGCUGGUCAUCCUAUGUUCCUCCUGUGCUCUUCUCCUCUCCCUCCUCUCAUUCUCGGUCGUCUACCUCUGUUGCAGAAGGAAAGAUGAAGACCUCCACGUUGCUCAGGGAACACCCAGCAGUAUUGAUGUAACACCUAUCAGGAACCAGGAUGAGGAUGGCCUGUGUUACGCUACACUGGAUAUCCCUUUACGUUCUCAGAGACCUAAAAAGAAGAGAGUCCAACCCUCAGAGUUCAGCACCUACUCAGCCAUCAAUACUAAGAGGAUGUGACCAUGACCAAGCCUUUUAAUAUAAAUACAAGGGCUCUAAUUCUUCAAUAUGACUUCAACUUUGUGCUUUCUAGAGGAGGCAGACAAUAUCAUUUUCAGAUUCACUCUCAAUAAAAUGCAUGUGAUAUAGUAAAGCUUGUUGGGAAGUAUGUUCUAAAUACCAUGUACUGUUUCCAUAUUGUUUGUCAAUAGUAUAAGUCCAAUAAUGCAUUUUUGGCUAUGUUUAUUCACUACAUUAUCAGAUAUUGUCUGUUGUUCAUUGUUUACUAUGAAGUAAGAUGGAGUGAACAGAAAUGUACAAAGGACUCUUUUGUAUCAGGUUAUGAUCUGGAGCUAGCUAAAGCUAUUCUGCGUGGGUUGUCAUUUUUGCUUGGCAGUCUCUACUCCUUGUCUUACAAGUAGGAUGCUGGCAGCCUCUUAAACAUCCCAAGAACACAUCAUUAUAACAAAAAUCCCUUUAACAUUUUACAAAAAGGCUCCAUUAAUUUACCAUUAAUUAGCAUUAUUUAUUAUAGUAAUACAGUUAAUUAAGUCUUCAUUCAAAAAUUAUUAAAUCUAUAAAUAUAGUGUUAAAGGAAAACAAUGGGAUUUCUUCAACCUGUACGGUUCUAAGGGACUAAUACAGACAACAAUAUUUGAUGGUCCAGUAUUGAGCGAGAAGGUAAACCGGAAAAAUGGGGAAUCUACUAUUUUCGAACACAGUGGAGAGGAUCUUUAUUGAGAAUUAAAAUGGUUUUCUUUACCUUUCGCCC
ensembl:lncRNA